GACGAACGCUGGCGGCGUGCUUAACACAUGCAAGUCGAACGGAAAGGCCCUGCUUUUGUGGGGUGCUCGAGUGGCGAACGGGUGAGUAACACGUGAGUAACCUGCCCUUGACUUUGGGAUAACUUCAGGAAACUGGGGCUAAUACCGGAUAGGAGCUCCUGCUGCAUGGUGGGGGUUGGAAAGUUUCGGCGGUUGGGGAUGGACUCGCGGCUUAUCAGCUUGUUGGUUGGGUAGUGGCUUACCAAGGCUUUGACGGGUAGCCGGCCUGAGAGGGUGACCGGCCACAAUGGGACUGAGAUACGGACCAGACUCCUACGGGAGGCAGCAGUGGGGAAUAUUGCACAAUGGGCGGAAGCCUGAUGCAGCAACGCCGCGUGCGGGAUGACGGCCUUCGGGUUGUAAACCGCUUUCGCCUGUGACGAAGCGUGAGUGACGGUAAUGGGUAAAGAAGCACCGGCUAACUACGUG
rnacentral:rRNA from 1 species